GACGAACGCUGGCGGCGUGCUUAACACAUGCAAGUCGAACGGAAAGGCCUGCUUUCCCUUGUGGUUUGCGGGUGCUCGAGUGGCGAACGGGUGAGUAACACGUGAGUGAUCUGCCCCCAACUUGGGUAUAAGCCUGGGAAACUGGGUCUAAUUCCCGAUAGGACUGCAGGGUGGUGCCUGUGGUGGAAAACGAUUUUCUAGUGGUUGGGGAUGAGCUCGCGGCCUAUCAGCUUGUUGGUGGGGUAAUGGCCUACCAAGGCGGCGACGGGUAGCCGGCCUGAGAGGGUCGACAGGCUCAUUGGGACUCGGAUACGACCCAGACUCGUACGCGAAGCAGCGGGGGUGAAUAAUGGACAGUGGGUAGAAGCCUGCUGCAGCGACGCCGCGUUGGGGAUGACGGGCUUCGAGUGAUACACUCCUUUCGACCGCGAGGAAGCCACCUGGUUGGAAGGGUGGUGACGGUAGUGGUAGAAGAAGCAACGGCUAACUACGUG
rnacentral:rRNA from 1 species